rfam:Treponema pedis str. T A4, complete genome.
AAAACGCUGUCGAGUUUGCUUCGCAAACUUCUUAUUGUAUGCCGUUUCUCAUUGUAUUACGAAACGGCGGAAAUUCAUCAAUGCUCGAUUUUUGAUAAAAUCUGCGCUUGAUGAAUUUAAAC